rnacentral:lncRNA from 1 species
AAGACACAGCGCCGCCGGCCGUGGGGGACGGACGCACUGAUUUGCUCCCCUACCCUCAGCAGCCCCCCCACCCAGCACCAGGUGGGUGUGAGCUGGGGUCUCCGCCGCACAGGAGGGAACCGUGCUAACAGGGUAACGGGGGAAAGUAGGGUCCUGGUGGCCACACCCUGCCCUUCCGGGGGAGGGGAGAGGGGGCGGCGGGGGUAGGGGAGCUUUGGGGCAGAGGGGCCUGAACUGGCUGGAGUAGUGUGGCAGGAGGUUUAAAGAAGGAGCCAGGACAGCAGUAGUGGCGGAAGGUUUUGCAGAGUGGCUAAAAGGGAGACGAGGGGCUGGAGGGCUGGGGGCAGCUAACCUGGGCGCCCCCUGGUCAAAGGAUAUGAGAACUGGCCUUCUAGCUUGCGGAGGGUUUGGACCCGGCGGGUAGUGAGGAGGUAGUUUUCCUUUACUGGCAGUCAGUGGGUCAGGGCCAAUUGAGCGCCCUGGCAGGGAAGGGGUCUCUGGGCGGGCCGGCCCCUCCUCUCGUUCCCUCCAGGGGAUGUUAUGUAAGGGGGGAGGGGAGAGGAGUAGGGGGCGGCGGUGCGGGGGCCUUAUGCAACCCAAAGGUUAGGGUUUCACCGCGGUUGGUGGGGGAAGCGGGCUGGAGGAGGACCUGGAAACUCUAACCCCCCCUCCCCAGCCUAACUGGCCGUCUUGGGCCCAGAGAAGGUCACCUCUGCACCUCCCCCCAGCAUGUCCGGUUGUGGGGCCCCUAGCCCAGGCCUGGCCCUGACCGCCUGGGAAGCCGGCUGACUGGGUGGGGCGCCUGGGUUAGUCAUCACUGGGCUCCCUCUCUCCCCACCUCUCGGCCAACUCUUGGCCCCUCCCUAUGGCCUCUCGCUAGGCUAUCGCCCCCACCUCCCUCCGGCCCUAGUUACAGCCUCCAACUCAUUUGGCCUGUCAUCCUGGCUGUCAGACUGGGCUAGGAAUUGUCAGGGUGCCAAAGGGUUGAUGGAGCAGCUGGUCAGAGGGUCAGUGCCCUGGGCCCACCCCGCCCUGCAGCCAAGGGCACCUGCUUGGCACAGACUCUGAGCAGCCGCUGAGUCCUAUGGGCUGAAUAGAGCUGGCUCAGACAGAGGAGAGUGGGAAGGAGUUGGACUGGUCACCUGGGGGAAGGAAGAUACCACAAAGUUCAUGUCUCCCUAGAGGGUUUUGUAAUUUGAAAACCUCCCACCCCCACCCUAGUCUUUCUUAUCCUCUGAGUAUAGAAGUCUGAAAGCAAGACCGCCUUGGCCGCUCACACUGGCAUGGGCCAUGCCCUUGGACUGAGUGUCAGCACAGACCCGCCCUCCCCAGCUCUCAGCCCUCUAGCCUGCCACGCCCCCAGCCCCCUCCCUGGGCCAUGCUGCAGGGCCCGGCUUUUCCUGCUGAUUCAUGCGUUGGAACUGUGGGGGCGGGGCUUGGAACUUGGAACAAAGUUCAGACAUGGAGGGGCCGGCAGACAGCCUGGAAUUCAUACCAGAUGUACCCGGAAUGCGCAAGCGGAAUGCCUGGCAUUUGAGAGUCUUGGGGAAGCUGCCCAUCCACCCUGCCCAUACCUCCCUCCCCUCCAGCCUUUGGUCCCCUGUCCUCUCCUCACAGUCCCUGGAGCCUCUGCUGACCUUCCAAACACUUCCUUACUCUUCCCCAGAUGUAGGCCCCCAAAACUCUUCUAGCUGAACUCUUUGGGAACAAGUCAGUUGGGCUGAUCACUGAACUCACAUUUUUGGACCUAAGGUACAACUUCUCACCAAGUACCUGGGCGAUUGGUGGGACGUGUCCAAGGUUCUAAGUCCUGCCCUCUCUGAAUGCUGAAGAGGAGGGGCCCUUCGUGGGUAGCUGAGGCAAGGGGUGGGGGGUGGGGUGAGAGCAGGCCUGGGUCUCUACAGCCUUCAGUUCUGGAAAGAGGUGCAAGGAGGUAUGUUUAGAGCUGCCUCUUGCUUCUCACUGAAGUCAACCGCUCCUGCAGGCCCAAGUCAAAGCCAAGAACCCUUUGUUACAAGGUUGAGCAUCUGUUGGAGCUGGACUUUGAUGCCAGUGGGACAGUGCCCCUGUGACAUGGCCCUGCUUAGAUCCUUCCCAUUUUUCUUCCCUUUCCUUUUAGGAGCCUGUCCCUCCCACAUCCUCAACUGGCUGAGCCGCAGUAGUUCUUCAGUGGCAAGCUUUAUGUCCUGACCCAGCUAAAGCUGCCAGUUGAAGAACUGUUGCCCUCUGCCCCUGGCUUCAAGGAGGAGGAGGAAGAGGAGAAGGAGCUGCUUUCCCCCUCAUCUGGAAGGUGACGGAACUGGGGCUGGGAAGGUCAGAACAGCGGGAGUGGUGAUGCCUUUUGGAAAAGGGAACCUUGUUCAGUUGGAGACCCUUCAGCCAGAUUGGCCCAGCAAGAGAGAACAGUUGUAGAUUAGAGACCCUCGUUGGGCUGGGGACUAGAUGGCUGUGACUACCCAAGGUUAGUUGGUCUACAUCAGUGUGUGACAAAGGGAAGACAAUGGGAGCAAAGAAAACUGGCAACACCUUUACUCAGAUGUCUUUCUUGACCCUCCUUCCUGUCUCCCUUUCUUUCCUACUGCCUUUCCAGGUGAGGUCCAAAGUAAAUUUCAUCUUCAGGGAAGAGGUCAUACUGAAACUCCCAUCUGAGUAGUCAACCCCAUGCUCUUAGCUUUCCCUGUAUUUCCUCAGACUGGCCUAGACUCCAGUUACAGGGAUAAAUCACCUAUAGUGGGACCCUUGGGCCUCUUGUCUCAGCUUCAACACCUGUGAGAUGCAGAAUCAUACAGUUGAAUGUGCAGGAGGGAAUCAGAAGCCUACUGUGCAGACUCAGAGCCUGGGCUCUCCUCUCCCUGUGGGUGGGAACAAAACAGCUUUUCAUAUAAGCUGUUGCCCCUCCCCCAUCCCUAACCAACACAACCCCAGGAGCUGGGGGUGGGGGGAGGAUUAGAGGGAGGGGGCUAGAGUUAGACCAGGGCUAGGGGCUGGAGGAGCUCAGUCUCUACAUUGACUUCCCACCAUGCAAAGGCGGCCCCAGGUUUCCUCUGCCACCCAAAACAGAACUGUAGCCCCUGAUGGGGUUCCAACUGCUGUUCCUCUGUUUCUUCUCUCACUUUACCUUCCAGGAUAAUUUGUGAGACUCAGCUCAGGCUUAUGAGGCAGGAAAUUCUCUCCAGCAACCAGGCGAGAUGGGUUGUGGGAUG